AACGAACGCUGGCGGCAUGCCUAACAUAUGCAAGUCGAACGAUACCUUCGGGUCUAGUGGCGCACGGGUGCGUAACGCGUGGGAACCUGCCCUUAGGUUCGGAAUAACUCCCCGAAAGGGGUGCUAAUACCGGAUAAUGUCUUCGGACCAAAGAUUUAUCGCCUUUGGAUGGGCCCGCGUUGGAUUAGCUAGUUGGUAGGGUAAAAGCCUACCAAGGCGACGAUCCAUAGCUGGUCUGAGAGGAUGAUCAGCCACACUGGGACUGAGACACGGCCCAGACUCCUACGGGAGGCAGCAGUGGGGAAUAUUGGACAAUGGGCGAAAGCCUGAUCCAGCAAUGCCGCGUGAGUGAUGAAGGCCUUAGGGUUGUAAAGCUCUAUUACCCGGGAUGAUAAUGACAGUACCGGGAGAAUAAGCGCCGGCUAACUCCGUG
rnacentral:rRNA from 1 species